AGUAACGCGUGAGGAACCUGCCUCAAAGAGGGGGACAACAGUUGGAAACGACUGCUAAUACCGCAUAAGCCCACAGCUCGGCAUCGAGCAGAGGGAAAAGGAGUGAUCCGCUUUGAGAUGGCCUCGCGUCCGAUUAGCUAGUUGGUGAGGUAAUGGCCCACCAAGGCGACGAUCGGUAGCCGGACUGAAAGGUUGAACGGCCACAUUGGGACUGAGACACGGCCCAG
rnacentral:rRNA from 1 species